rnacentral:rRNA from 1 species
AGUGAACGCUGGCGGUAGGCCUAACACAUGCAAGUCGAACGGCAGCACAGUAAAAGCUUGCUCUUACGGGUGGCGAGUGGCGGACGGGUGAGGAAUACAUCGGAAUCUACUUUUUCGUGGGGGAUAACGUAGGGAAACUUACGCUAAUACCGCAUACGACCUACGAGUGAAAGCAGGGGAUCUUCGGACCUUGCGCGAUUGAAUGAGCCGAUGUCGGAUUAGCUAGUUGGCGGGGUAAAGGCCCACCAAGGCGACGAUCCGUAGCUGGUCUGAGAGGAUGACCAGCCACACUGGAACUGAGACACGGUCCAGACUCCUACGGGAGGCAGCAGUGGGGAAUAUUGGACAAUGGGCGCAAGCCUGAUCCAGCCAUACCGCGUGGGUGAAGAAGGCCUUCGGGUUGUAAAGCCCUUUUGUUGGGAAAGAAAAGCAGCAGGUUAAUACCCCGCUGUUCUGACGGUACCCAAAGAAUAAGCACCGGCUAACUUCGUG